rnacentral:rRNA from 1 species
UACGUAGGGUGCGAGCGUUGUCCGGAAUUAUUGGGCGUAAAGAGCUUGUAGGCGGUUUGUCGCGUCUGCUGUGAAAAUCCGGGGCUCAACCCCGGACUUGCAGUGGGUACGGGCAGACUAGAGUGUGGUAGGGGAGACUGGAAUUCCUGGUGUAGCGGUGGAAUGCGCAGAUAUCGGGAGGAACACCAAUUGCGAAGGCAGCUUGCUGGGACUGUACUGACGCUGAGGCGCGAAAGCGUGGGGAGCAAACAGG